UCAAAACAUCGCUCUGAUUAAAAUAAGARGUCCAGCCUGCCAGUGACAAAUGUUCAACGGCGCGUAUCCWACCGUGCGARGUAGCGUAAUCACUUGUUCUUUAAAUGGGGACUAGUAUGAAUGGCAUCACGAGGGUUACACUGUCUCCUCUCUCUAAUCAGUGAAACUAAUCCCCCCGUGAAGAAGCGGGGAUAAAUAUAUAAGACGAGAAGACCCUAUGGAGCUUUAAAUUUUUAUCCAGGCACUAAACUACUACCUCAAGUCACUGACCCCCACCACAAUUACCACGGCGCCAUGGAGAUGAAUUUUAGGUUGGGGUGACCACGGAGUACAAAAAAACCUCCACGCUGAACAGGCCUCUUAAGUCUUGAGCAAAGGGCCACAACCCAAAGCACUAAAAAACUAACACCCAUUGACCCAAUUUUAUUUGAUCAACGAACCAAGUUACCCUAGGGAUAACAGCGCAUCUACUUCAGAGUUCUUAUCGACAGUGGUUUACGACUCGAUGUGGAUCAGGUAUCCAGUGGUGCAGCCGCUACUAAUGGUCGUUGUCACGAUAAAAC
rnacentral:rRNA from 1 species